GAUGAACGCUGGCGGCGUGCCUAAUACAUGCAAGUCGAGCGAACAGACGAGGAGCUUGCUCCUCUGACGUUAGCGGCGGACGGGUGAGUAACACGUGGAUAACCUACCUAUAAGACUGGGAUAACUUCGGGAAACCGGAGCUAAUACCGGAUAAUAUAUUGAACCGCAUGGUUCAAUAGUGAAAGACGGUUUUGCUGUCACUUAUAGAUGGAUCCGCGCCGCAUUAGCUAGUUGGUAAGGUAACGGCUUACCAAGGCAACGAUGCGUAGCCGACCUGAGAGGGGGAUCGGCCCCCCUGGAACUGAGACACGGUCCAGGCUCCUACGGGAGGCAGCAGUAGGGAAUCUUCCGGAAUGGGCGAAAGCCUGACGGAGCAACGCCGCGUGAGUGAUGAAGGUCUUCGGAUCGUAAAACUCUGUUAUUAGGGAAGAACAAAUGUGUAAGUAACUAUGCACGUCUUGACGGUACCUAAUCAGAAAGCCACGGCUAACUACGUG
rnacentral:rRNA from 1 species